UGGGGAAUUUUGGACAAUGGACGCAAGUCUGAUCCAGCCAUGCCGCGUGCGGGAAGAAGGCCUUCGGGUUGUAAACCGCUUUUGUCAGGGAAGAAACGCUCUGGGCUAAUACCCUGGGGUAAUGACGGUACCUGAAGAAUAAGCACCGGCUAACUACGUGCCAGCAGCCGCGGUAAUACGUAGGGUGCGAGCGGUAAUCGGAAUUACUGGGCGUAAAGCGUGCGCAGGCGGUGAUGUAAGACAGGUGUGAAAUCCCCGGGCUUAACCUGGGAAUUGCAUUUGUGACUGCAGCGCUGGAGUGCGGCAGAGGGGGAUGGAAUUCCGCGUGUAGCAGUGAAAUGCGUAGAUAUGCGGAGGAACACCGAUGGCGAAGGCAAUCCCCUGGGCCUGCACUGACGCUCAUGCACGAAAGCGUGGGGAGCAAACA
rnacentral:rRNA from 1 species